GGGCCCGUGGUCUAGCGGCAUGACGUCGCCCUUACGAGGCGAAGGUCCUGCGUUCGAGUCGCAGCGGGCCCA
rnacentral:tRNA from 1 species